AGUGUCCAAAAACCAUGGAAGCAGAAAUCGGUGACACAGUGAUUCUGCCGUGUUCCACUGAUCCUCAAACCAAUGUCAUUAGAGUGGAGUGGAUGGUAAAUGUGACAACUGAGGUCCAUGUGUGCAGAAAAGAUAAAGAUGAGCUUGCUCACCAAGCAAGCAUCUAUGAAGGAAAAACAUCUGUUUUUAAACAGCAACUACCAAAAGGGAACUGUUCACUGCAACUGGUGGUUUCUCAGUCUCAUUUCGGGACAUACAAGUGCUCUGUACUUACAUCAAAGAAAACAGAAGACAGUUGUGUUAUAAAUCUCACUGUCUAUGCGAAAGGGGCCCAAAUCAACCCUGUCCGUUCCAAAAGCAGUUUUGACUUUCAAUAUGCAGCUCUUUUUUCCAUUGCCUGUGCCGUUCCUCUCUUUUGGUAUCUCUUCUAUAAAGGACACUAAAAUGGACAACAUCAAGAAACAGCAAACAACCAUCAAGAGGGUGGAGGAGCUGAAAAUGAAGCAGACAGCAUGGGGAGCUGAGCAUUCUAGCUGAUAGCAAGAAGCAAAAAGACUUAAUGAAUUAGGUCUUUAUGUUUUUAAUUUGAAACAGAUCAAUAUUUUUGUUGGUUAACUUUAAUAUAUUACUGUCAUAUUGCAAGUGACUAUAUAAACAGACAUUCACACAGAAAGCACUCACCACACAUUCCUUUGUAACUGAUAGCUGGUCUUUAUGGACAUUCUAGGCCCCUGUUGUCUAGGUAAUGCUCUGAUAUAUUUAUCACCCCUAUUCGUCAGUCAGUAGCUUGAAUUCGAGUUUUACUCAGGACCGACCCACUUCAAACUUCCUGGGUGAGUUCACCUAGGACGUUGCCAAUAUCAUUGCCAUUCUUUGGUCUCUGGUUGUCAUGUUACUACUAGUCACUUCCUACAGCGGGGAAAAUAAGUAUUUGACACAUCAGCAUUUUUAUCAGUAAGGGGAUUUCUAAGUGGACUAUUGACACAA